rnacentral:rRNA from 1 species
GACGAACGCUGGCGGCGUGCUUAACACAUGCAAGUCGAACGGAAAGGCCCUGCUUUUGUGGGGUGCUCGAGUGGCGAACGGGUGAGUAACACGUGAGUAACCUGCCCUUGACUUUGGGAUAACUUCAGGAAACUGGGGCUAAUACCGGAUAGGAGCUCCUGCUGCAUGGUGGGGGUUGGAAAGUUUCGGCGGUUGGGGAUGGACUCGCGGCUUAUCAGCUUGUUGGUGGGGUAGUGGCUUACCAAGGCUUUGACGGGUAGCCGGCCUGAGAGGGUGACCGGCCACAUUGGGACUGAGAUAGGGCCCAGACUCCUACGGGAGGCAGUAGUGGGGAAUAUUGCGCAAUGGGCGGAAGCCUGAUGCAGCAACGCCGCGUGCGGGAUGACGGCCUUCGGGUUGUAAACCGCUUUCGCCUGUGACGAAGCGUGAGUGACGGUAAUGGGUAAAGAAGCACCGGCUAACUACGUG